rnacentral:tRNA from 1 species
CCCCGGUUGGUGUAGUUGGUUAGCACAUUGCCUCUUCUAGGCAAAGGUCACAAAUUCGAAUCUUGUACAGGGGA